rnacentral:rRNA from 1 species
AUUGAACGCUGGCGGCAGGCUUAACACAUGCAAGUCGAGCGGGGUGAUGGUGCUUGCACUAUCACUUAGCGGCGGACGGGUGAGUAAUGCUUAGGAAUCUGCCUAUUAGUGGGGGACAACAUCUCGAAAGGGAUGCUAAUACCGCAUACGUCCUACGGGAGAAGGCAGGGGAUCACUUGUGACCUUGCGCUAAUAGAUGAGCCUAAGUCGGAUUAGCUAGUUGGUGGGGUAAAGGCCUACCAAGGCGACGGUCUGUAGCGGGUCUGAGAGGAUGAUCCGCCACACUGGGACUGAGACACGGCCCAGACUCCUACGGGAGGCAGCAGUGGGGAAUAUUGGACAAUGGGGGAACCCUGAUCCAGCCAUGCCGCGUGUGUGAAGAAGGCCUUAUGGUUGUAAAGCACUUUAAGCGAGGAGGAGGCUCUUUUGGUUAAUACCCAAGAUGAGUGGACGUUACUCGCAGAAUAAGCACCGGCUAACUCUGUGCCAGCCGCCGCGGUAA